UUUGUUGUAUUUUAGUAUUUUACAAACGUUAUUGGGUUACUUUUCUCGUAGUCAGUAUUUGUCAAGUUGAAAUGAUAUACCCUGAGAGUAUGAUCAGUUAUGUAUUGUUUUUUUCGUGUUUCAAGUCAAUCAGGUUCCCUGUUUAUUACAGGUCCAACCGAAGACGUUAAAUAUAUGAUAUUCACCUUAUAUAGGUUUGAGUCGAUGUUCCUAUAUAAUUCUCAAACGUGUCCAAUUGUACUGCCCUAUUUAAUUAGACAAGCUUGUCUUAAAGCUUGGAAUAUUGCCGAAACAUCCUUCGUUUUGUUUGUGGAUCUCUCAAUGGUUGUUUUUACAGUUGUUUUGUUGGUGUUUCACUGACAUACAACCCACAUCUUCAUCUCCGCAUUCAUGUCACACUAUGUCUCAAGAGUGUCUCACAGUGCAGUGAUUAGUAUGCAAGAUUUACUUCUUUAUAUCCUA
rnacentral:lncRNA from 1 species